ACCCAGUCUCGUCCGAUCCGCGAAGUUAAGCAACAUUGGGUCAAGUUAGUACUUGGAUGGGUGACCGCCUGGGAAUACUUGAUGCUGUAGGUAA
rnacentral:rRNA from 1 species